GUGAGGAAUUUUCCGCAAUGGGCGAAAGCCUGACGGAGCAAUGCCGCGUGAAGGAUGAAGGCCUAUGGGUUGUAAACUUCUUUUCUCAGAAAAGAAUUAUGACGUUAUCUGAGGAAUAAGCAUCGGCUAACUCUGUGCCAGCAGCCGCGGUAAGACAGAGGAUGCAAGCGUUAUCCGGAAUGAUUGGGCGUAAAGCGUCUGUAGGUUGUUUAAAAAGUAUUCUGUCAAAGAUUAGGGCUUAACCCUAGAUAGGCAGAAUAAACUUUUAAGCUAGAGUUUGGUAGAGGCAGAGGGAAUUCCCGGUGGAGCGGUGAAAUGCGUAGAUAUCGGGAGGAACACCAAAGGCGAAGGCACUCUGCUGGGCCAAUACUAACACUGAGAGACGAAAGCGAGGGGAGCAAAUGGGAUUAGAAACCCUAGUAGUCC
rnacentral:rRNA from 1 species